rnacentral:rRNA from 1 species
UACGUAGGGUGCAAGCGUUGUCCGGAAUUAUUGGGCGUAAAGAGCUCGUAGGCGGUUUGUCGCGUCUGCUGUGAAAUCCCGAGGCUCAACCUCGGGUCUGCAGUGGGUACGGGCAGACUAGAGUGUGGUAGGGGAGAUUGGAAUUCCUGGUGUAGCGGUGGAAUGCGCAGAUAUCAGGAGGAACACCGAUGGCGAAGGCAGAGCUCUGGGCCAUUACUGACGCUGAGGAGCGAAAGCAUGGGGAGCGAACAGG